GGCAACGGGGCGGCGCAGGCAGGAGGGAACGGCUGGUUGCAGGUUUCUCUCGGCCUGGCCCAGCGCGGCCCCGCCGAGGCGGCGACCAAGCCCAUUCUCAGCUAUGAGAACAUUUUAAAGUGUGCUUUUCAAGAAAUAACAGUCCAGCAGGCAGCUGAAGACGUUUCCACCAUAGACCAUUUCCUAGAAAUAAGUAGUGAAGAAAAACCUGGCCUUGAAUGUGUACAUAAAUUGUGGGACACACUUUCAACUGAGCAUUGAAGACAAACAGUGCUCUAGUGGAUUAGGCAGCAGUGGUUGAGAAGCUCGAGGUAAG
rnacentral:sRNA from 1 species